rnacentral:tRNA from 1 species
AUCAAGGCAGCUCUGGGAGUACGGUAUUGAAGAUACUGGGGGAUAUUGGUA